rnacentral:lncRNA from 11 species
GUCUGUGGUGUCAAGGCAACCUUCUGUUUUGGAUACAGUCCACAAAUACAUAGAACAUGGUUCCUACACCCAGUUGUAUGUACUUGCAGAUGUAAUAUGGACAUCUCCGGAACUGCCUGCUGCAGGACUGCAUAAAAAUGUGUCUUUUUUUUCCCUCUCAAGGAUGAACAGUGGCGAGGCAAAGUGCGUCGAGAAAAGCUCCAGCACUAUGAAGACCGGCUCAAGGCCCGGCUUCGGCAGUGCAUGUCCAAGCAAGUGGAAGCCUUAAUUCAAGGCAAGCGGCAGACGGAAGGCACUCUUCACAGUCUCAAGAGGCAAGUGGACGCUCUGGACGAACUGGUCAGCAGCACUUCGGCCGAUUCCCCUUCUCCGUCCUUCACCUCCUCCGGCUUUGCAGACCUUUUGCACGAAGAGCUGAACCUCACCAAGAACCAGCUUGCCAGAUCCCCUUCCAAGCCCGCAGCCGGUAUUUCAUCACAGAUUCCAAUUGUCACUCAGUACAACAUGUGAUCUGACAAAACAG